ACGCUCGACACCUACGGUAGGCAGCAGUGAGGAAUAUUGGUCAAUGGGCGCUAGCCUGAACCAGCCAAGUAGCGUGAAGGAUGAAGGCUCUAUGGGUCGUAAACUUCUUUUAUAUAAGAAUAAAGUGCAGUAUGUAUACUGUUUUGUAUGUAUUAUAUGAAUAAGGAUCGGCUAACUCCGUGCCAGCAGCCGCGGUAAUCUGAGCGGGCGUGGCAAGGC
rnacentral:rRNA from 1 species